rnacentral:lncRNA from 1 species
AAAAGUGAUGGCAGUACUUAUUCCAUUGAGAGAUACAAAGCGUUUUCUAGAGAGUGUUUCUUAACCCCCCAAAAAACUUGGGGGUUAAGAACUAUCUUCAGAAGCUCAAACACAAAUCAGGGAAGGACACUGCUUCAAAUAAUCUAGCAAAUGGACCUCUGCGUGUUCUGAAGAUAAAGUUAGCCCUACAUUUCAAGUUAAGGCUAUCCAGGAAGAAUGUCUUUGGCAAUCUCUUUCAGCUUCCCUCUUCUGGCAUGUGUAUAGCCUGCAGGUACUUAACAGAGCGGCUUCAUAUACAGAUAGCUCUGAUGAUGAGACAUCGCCCAGGGACAAGCAGCAAAAGAACUCUAAGGGAAGCAGUGACUUCUGUGUUAAGAACAUCAAACAGGCAGAGUUUGGACGAAGAGAAAUUGAAAUUGCUGAACAAGAAAUGCCUGCAUUGAUGGCUUUGAGGAAGAGAGCUCAAGGAGAAAAGCCUUUGGCUGGAGCCAAAAUCGUGGGUUGCACACACAUCACUGCUCAGACUGCUGUGCUUAUGGAAACUCUGGGUGCUCUGGGGGCCCAGUGCCGAUGGGCUGCCUGCAACAUCUAUUCCACUCUCAAUGAAGUGGCUGCUGCUCUAGCAGA